CUGUUCCUACGGGGGGCAGCAGUGGGGAAUAUUGCACAAUGGGGGAAACCCUGAUGCAGCGACGCCGCGUGAAGGAUGAAGUAUUUCGGUAUGUAAACUUCUAUCAGCAGGGAAGAAAAUGACGGUACCUGACUAAGAAGCCCCGGCUAACUACGUGCCAGCAGCCGCGGUAAUACGUAGGGGGCAAGCGUUAUCCGGAUUUACUGGGUGUAAAGGGAGCGUAGACGGCAUGGCAAGUCUGAUGUGAAAACCCGGGGCUCAACCCCGGGACUGCUUUGGAAACUGUGCAGCUGGAGUGCAGGGGG
rnacentral:rRNA from 1 species